rnacentral:rRNA from 1 species
AUUGAACGCUGGCGGCGUGCCUAACACAUGCAAGUCGAGCGGUAACAGGUGUAGCAAUACAUGCUGACGAGCGGCGGACGGGUGAGUAACGCUUGGGAAUCUGCCUGUUAGUGGGGGACAACCCGGGGAAACGUCGGGCUAAUACCGCAUACGCACUACGGUGGAAAGCCGGGGACCGGCAAGGCCUGGCGCUAACAGAUGAGCCCAAGUCGGAUUAGCUAGUUGGUAGGGAACGGCCUACCAAGGCGACGAUCCGUAACUGGUCUGAGAGGACGACCAGUCACACCGGAACUGAGACACGGUCCGGACUCCUACGGGAGGCAGCAGUGGGGAAGUAUUGGACAAUGGGCGAAAGCCUGAUCCAGCGACG